rnacentral:rRNA from 1 species
UACGGAGGGGGCUAGCGUUGUUCGGAAUUACUGGGCGUAAAGCGCGCGUAGGCGGAUUUAUAAGUCGGGGGUGAAAUCCCGGGGCUCAACCUCGGAACUGCCUUCGAUACUGCAAAUCUCGAGUCCGGAAGAGGUGAGUGGAAUUCCUAGUGUAGCGGUGAAAUUCGUAGAUAUUAGGAAGAACACCAGUGGCGAAGGCGGCUCACUGGUCCGGAACUGACGCUGAGGCUCGAAAGCGUGGGGAGCAAACAGG